rnacentral:rRNA from 1 species
UACUGGGCGUAAAGCGCGCGUAGGUCGGUUCUGUUAAGUCGGAUGUGAAAUCCCAGGGCUCAACCCUGGAACUGCCUUUGAUACUGGUAGUCUAGAGAUCGAGAGAGGUGAGUGGAAUUCCGAGUGUAGAGGUGAAAUUCGUAGAUAUUCGGAGGAACACCAGUGGCGAAGGCGGCUCACUGGCUCGAUACUGACGCUGAGGUGCGAAAGUGUGGGGAGCAAACAGGAUUAGAUACCCUGGUAGUCCACAGCGUAUACGAGGGUUGCCAGUCCUCGGGUGUUAUACUGUUUAAUGGCCCAGCUAACGCAUUUUUCAUCCCGCCAGGGGAAUACAGUCCCAAGAUUCAAACUCAAAGGAAUUGACGC